rnacentral:rRNA from 1 species
AACGAACGCUGGCGGCAUGCCUAACACAUGCAAGUCGAACGAGAUCUUCGGGUCUAGUGGCGCACGGGUGCGUAACGCGUGGGAAUCUGCCCUUUGGUUCGGAAUAACAGUUGGAAACGACUGCUAAUACCGGAUGAUGACGAAAGCCCAAAGAUUUAUCGCCAGAGGAUGAGCCCGCGUAGGAUUAGCCAGUUGGUGUGGUAAGGGCGCACCAAGGCGACGAUCCUUAGCUGGUCUGAGAGGAUGAUCAGCCACACUGGGACUGAGACACGGCCCAGACUCCUACGGGAGGCAGCAGUGGGGAAUAUUGGACAAUGGGCGAAAGCCUGAUCCAGCAAUGCCGCGUGAGUGAUGAAGGCCUUAGGGUUGUAAAGCUCUUUUACCCGGGAUGAUAAUGACAGUACCGGGAGAAUAAGCUCCGGCUAACUCCGUGCCAGCCGCCGCCGUAAUAC